rnacentral:rRNA from 1 species
AGAGUUUGAUCCUGGCUCAGAUUGAACGCUGGCGGCAUGCCUUACACAUGCAAGUCGAACGGUAACAGGUCUUCGGAUGCUGACGAGUGGCGAACGGGUGAGUAAUACAUCGGAACGUGCCCGAUCGUGGGGGAUAACGAGGCGAAAGCUUUGCUAAUACCGCAUACGAUCUACGGAUGAAAGCGGGGGAUCUUUGGACCUCGCGCGGACGGAGCGGCCGAUGGCAGAUUAGGUAGUUGGUGGGAUAAAAGCUUACCAAGCCGACGAUCUGUAGCUGGUCUGAGAGGAUGAUCAGCCACACUGGGACUGAGACACGGCUCAGACUCCUACGGGAGGCAGCAGUGGGGAAUUUUGGACAAUGGGCGAAAGCCUGAUCCAGCCAUGCCGCGUGCAGGAUGAAGGCCUUCGGGUUGUAAACUGCUUUUGUACGGAACGAAAAGCCUCUUUCUAAUAAAGAGGGGUCAUGACGGUACCGUAAGAAUAAGCACCGGCUAACUACGUGCCAGCAGCCGCGGUAAUACGUAGGGUGCAAGCGUUAAUCGGAAUUACUGGGCGUAAAGCGUGCGCAGGCGGUUUUGUAAGACAGAGGUGAAAUCCCCGGGCUCAACCUGGGAACUGCCUUUGUGACUGCAAGGCUGGAGUGCGGCAGAGGGGGAUGGAAUUCCGCGUGUAGCAGUGAAAUGCGUAGAUAUGCGGAGGA